CCUACGGGAGGCUGCAGUGGGGAAUAUUGGACAAUGGGCGAAAGCCUGAUCCAGCCAUGCCGCGUGUGUGAAGAAGGCCUUCGGGUUGUAAAGCACUUUCAGUGGGGAAGAAAGCCUUGGGGCUAAUACCCUCGAGGAAGGACAUCACCCACAGAAGAAGCACCGGCUAACUCCGUGCCAGCAGCCGCGGUAAUACGGAGGGUGCGAGCGUUAAUCGGAAUUACUGGGCGUAAAGCGCGCGUAGGCGGUCUGAUAAGCCGGUUGUGAAAGCCCCGGGCUCAACCUGGGAACGGCAUCCGGAACGGUCAGGCUAGAGUGCAGGAGAGGAAGGUAGAAUUCCCGGUGUAGCAGUGAAAUGCGUAGAGAUCGGGAGGAAUACCAGUGGCGAAGGCGGCCUUCUGGACUGACACUGACGCUGAGGUGCGAAAGCGUGGGUAGCAAACAGGAUUAGAUACCCUGGUAGUC
rnacentral:rRNA from 1 species